ACGGCGGAGGAACCGUCCGCCAAGCGUCACCAUGGCGAGACGUCGAACAAGAGCAGCAACCUCGUCGACAUUCACGUCCCCGAAGAGAAGUGCGAGUACACCAGAACGCUCAAAGGGGUUGAGCUCCAUGGCAAGGAGACGCUAGAGAUCGUCUGCACCAGCGUACCAGACAAGGCCGACGAGGUGAUGAGUAGGCUCAGGAUGAAGGGCGGCGGCUUGUAUCUAAGCUUCAUCGGAGUUGAUGUGGAGUACACCAACAAAGAAGAACCUCCACAGAUGGUGGCAGUCCUGCAGUUGUGCGUCGAGGAACUCUGCUUGGUAUACCACAUCGCAGCAGCCACAAAAUGGCCCAAGCGCCUCAAAGACUUCCUGCAGGAGGAGAAAUUGUACACAUUUGUCGGUUUCAGCAUUGGAGGUGACAAG
rnacentral:rRNA from 1 species